GAUUAUAUCCAGGAACUUCGGCAGAGUAACCACCGGUUGUCUGAAGAACUGCAGGGGCUUGACCAACUACAGCUGGACAACGAUGUGCUUCGACAGCAGGUAGAAGAUCUUAAGAACAAGAAUCUGCUGCUACGAGCUCAGCUGCGGCACCACGGAGUAGAGGUUGUCAUCAAGAGUGACAGCAACUAACUCUGGGGACUUGGGCUCUAAGCUCUACAGCCCCUUUCCAAGAACUUCAGAUAGCCCAGGAGCCACAGGCUAAUAACCCCGUGCCCCUUUCCUUCACUACCCACAUUUGGCAUGGGACUGGGGGGAGUUCAGAAGGCGUAUCUUUGAAUUAAGGCCCUGUGAUCUAGCAGCCUGCAGUGGUGUGAAACACACACAUGGGUGUGCACCGACAGUCUCGCCCAACCAGCCCUACCAUGCAGCCCCUGGGCCCUUGUGCUCCUCUUGCACAAUGCAUGUGCUGUCUCCAUGCUGGACACUGGACACUAAACUGGGGGGCUUGCCCCGUGCUUGCUUAAAGUGCCAGCAGAGGGUCUGCUGACAAGCAGUGUUCUGGCUUGCCCCAGGACUGGCGCUUCCCACUGGUUCUUCCUUUCCCUGGAUUUCGAAUGUGGUCCUCAGGACUCUGGGGAACAGGCUUUAGCAGGAAGUGGGGAUCAGAGGCUUAGCAGUGGCUGCUGCUCCAGGAAGAGGAGAUUGGCCAGCAAGCAGUUGAGGCCUAUGCAGGUUUCUGGCACC
rnacentral:lncRNA from 1 species